rnacentral:rRNA from 1 species
CAGCAGCCGCGGUAAUACGUAGGGUGCGAGCGUUAAUCGGAAUUACUGGGCGUAAAGCGUGCGCAGGCGGUUCGUUAAGACAGAUGUGAAAUCCCCGGGCUUAACCUGGGGACUGCAUUUGUGACUGGCGAGCUAGAGUAUGGCAGAGGGGGGUAGAAUUCCACGUGUAGCAGUGAAAUGCGUAGAGAUGUGGAGGAAUACCGAUGGCGAAGGCAGCCCCCUGGCCAAUACUGACGCUCAUGCACGAAAGCGUGGGGAGCAAACAGGAUUAGAUACCCCUGUAGUCCCUGUCUCUUAUACA